rnacentral:rRNA from 1 species
UAUCGGAGAGUUUGAUCCUGGCUCAGGACGAACGCUGGCGGCGUGCCUAAUACAUGCAAGUCGAGCGGACAGAUGGGAGCUUGCUCCCUGAUGUUAGCGGCGGACGGGUGAGUAACACGUGGGUAAC